AUUCCCUGACCUUCCUUUCUAGGGCUCUGAAUCCAUCCCAUUGCUGUCUAUCCAGUCACUCUCUCUUUUCUAGCUGGCAUCCAUCACAAGCAAUCUGCUUAUCUUGUUUUUGUCUAUCUUUGUUGAAUUUUGGUAUUGAUUUUAUGUGUCAGUACCUGAGAAGUAGAGAAGUCCUUGAGUUGUUGUGUAAAUGUGGCUCAAGUGAGAUGCUGAACAGUGCCAGCCAUGUGGACUCUGCCACGGUGAAGGAGGAAGGAAAAAAAUAUAAUAUUGGAUCAGCUGUGUGUCAGGCAUCUGAGGUUCUAACCAUAGCUCCAUUACUACCAGUCUGUGUGACUUGGGGAAUGCUGCUUACCUUCUUUGAGACUCAUUUUCUUCAUUACAAGAUAAAGAGCUUGCUAGGCAGCACUGAGGAGUAAAGGAAUAUUUGGGAGGAUCAGAAGCUUGGUCCUGAUUUUGCCAUCAACCAGGACCUUGAUGACUUCAAGGGAGUCCCCAAACCCUGGGUUUCUGUUUUCUCAACUCUAACAUGAGGGGCUAGACGCAUCUGGUUUAGUUCGUCUCCAUGAUCCUGUGAAUUUCAGAUGUUGAAAAUCUUCAGAAAAGCCCUGAAAGAUGAAGAGUGGUCUCAAAUAGUCAAGACCCCCUGCUGGGGGGAGCGUCUAUCCUGCUCUGUGGAAGAAAUGGGCAUGCCAGAUGCCUG
rnacentral:antisense_RNA from 1 species